rnacentral:rRNA from 1 species
GAUGAACGCUGGCGGCGUGCUUAACACAUGCAAGUCGAACGAAGCACUUAUCUUUGAUUCUUCGGAUGAAGAGGUUUGUGACUGAGUGGCGGACGGGUGAGUAACGCGUGGGUAACCUGCCUCAUACAGGGGGAUAACAGUUAGAAAUGACUGCUAAUACCGCAUAAGACCACAGAGCCGCAUGGCUCAGUGGGAAAAACUCCGGUGGUAUGAGAUGGACCCGCGUCUGAUUAGGUAGUUGGUGGGGUAACGGCCUACCAAGCCAACGAUCAGUAGCCGACCUGAGAGGGUGACCGGCCACAUUGGGACUGAGACACGGCCCAAACUCCUACGGGAGGCAGCAGUGGGGAAUAUUGCACAAUGGGGGAAACCCUGAUGCAGCGACGCCGCGUGAGCGAAGAAGUAUUUCGGUAUGUAAAGCUCUAUCAGCAGGGAAGAAAAUGACGGUACCUGACUAAGAAGCACCGGCUAAAUACGUGCCAGCAGCCGCGGUAAUACGUAUGGUGCAAGCGUUAUCCGGAUUUACUGGGUGUAAAGGGAGCGUAGACGGCUGUGUAAGUCUGAAGUGAAAGCCCGGGGCUCAACCCCGGGACUGCUUUGGAAACUAUGCAGCUAGAGUGUCGGAGAGGUAAGUGGAAUUCCCAGUGUAGCGGUGAAAUGCGUAGAUAUUGGGAGGAACACCAGUGGCGAAGGCGGCUUACUGGACGAUGACUGACGUUGAGGCUCGAAAGCGUGGGGAGCAAACAGGAUUAGAUACCCUGGUAGUCCACGCC